rnacentral:rRNA from 1 species
UUAAUUAAGAGUUUGAUCCUGGCUCAGGACGAACGCUGGCGGCACGCUUAACACAUGCAAGUCGAACGAGAGAAGAGAAGCUUGCUUUUCUGAUCUAGUGGCGGACGGGUGAGUAACACGUGAGCAAUCUGCCUUUCAGAGGGGGAUACCGAUUGGAAACGAUCGUUAAUACCGCAUAACAUAAUUGAACCGCAUGAUUUGAUUAUCAAAGAUUUAUCGCUGAAAGAUGAGCUCGCGUCUGAUUAGCUAGUUGGUAAGGUAACGGCUUACCAAGGCGACGAUCAGUAGCCGGACUGAGAGGUUGAUCGGCCACAUUGGGACUGAGACACGGCCCAGACUCCUACGGGAGGCAGCAGUGGGGAAUAUUGCACAAUGGAGGAAACUCUGAUGCAGCGAUGCCGCGUGAGGGAAGAAGGUUUUAGGAUUGUAAACCUCUGUCUUCAGGGACGAAAAAUGACGGUACCUGAGGAGGAAGCUCCGGCUAACUACGUGCCAGCAGCCGCGGUAAUACGUAGGGAGCGAGCGUUGUCCGGAAUUACUGGGUGUAAAGGGAGCGUAGGCGGGAUCGCAAGUCAGAUGUGAAAACUAUGGGCUUAACCCAUAAACUGCAUUUGAAACUGUGGUUCUUGAGUGAAGUAGAGGUAAGCGGAAUUCCUAGUGUAGCGGUGAAAUGCGUAGAUAUUAGGAGGAACAUCAGUGGCGAAGGCGGCUUACUGGGCUUUAACUGACGCUGAGGCUCGAAAGCGUGGGGAGCAAACAGGAUUAGAUACCCUGGUAGUCCACGCCGUAAACGAUGAUUACUAGGUGUGGGGGGACUGACCCCUUCCGUGCCGCAGCAAACGCAAUAAGUAAUCCACCUGGGGAGUACGACCGCAAGGUUGAAACUCAAAGGAAUUGACGGGGGCCCGCACAAGCAGUGGAGUAUGUGGAUUAAUUCGAAGCAACGCGAAGAACCUUACCAGGUCUUGACAUCGUAUGCAUAGCUCAGAGAUGAGUGAAAUCUCUUCGGAGACAUAUAGACAGGUGGUGCAUGGUUGUCGUCAGCUCGUGUCGUGAGAUGUUGGGUUAAGUCCCGCAACGAGCGCAACCCUUACUGUUAGUUGCUACGCAAGAGCACUCUAGCAGGACUGCCGUUGACAAAACGGAGGAAGGUGGGGAUGACGUCAAAUCAUCAUGCCCCUUAUGACCUGGGCCUCACACGUACUACAAUGGCUGUCAACAGAGGGAUGCAAAGCCGCGAGGUAGAGCGAAACCCUAAAAGCAGUCUUAGUUCGGAUUGUAGGCUGCAACCCGCCUACAUGAAGUCGGAAUUGCUAGUAAUCGCAGAUCAGCAUGCUGCGGUGAAUACGUUCCCGGGCCUUGUACACACCGCCCGUCACGCCAUGGGAGUCGGUAACACCCGAAGCCUGUAGUCUAACCGCAAGGAGGAUGCAGUCGAAGGUGGGAUUGAUGACUGGGGUGAAGUCGUAACAAGGUAGCCGUAUCGGAAGGUGCGGCUGGAUCACCUCCUUUCUA